rnacentral:rRNA from 1 species
AUGGCUGCGGCUGCUCCCACCCAGGCUCCGGCCAUGACCCUGCCGGCCGCCAUGGCCGCCAAGGUGGCGCCCGCCCCCGCCGGCGACCGCAAGGUGGUGCCGCUGAUGACCGACGCCGACGAGGUCGUCGUCCAGGUCCAGGUCCAGGCCGAGCUGCACGUGCUCGCCGUCGACGACAGCGUCGUCGACCGCGCCGUCAUCGCCAAGAUCCUCCGCAGCUCAAAAUACAGAGUGACCACCGUGGACUCAGCGACGCGGGCGCUGGAGCUGCUGGGCCUGGGGCUCAUCACGGACGUGAACAUGAUCAUCACCGACUAUUGGAUGCCCGGCAUGACCGGGUACGAGCUGCUGAAGCGCGUCAAGGAGUCGUCGGAGCUCCGGGAGAUCCCCGUGGUGAUCAUGUCGUCGGAGAACGUGCCCAACCGCAUCACCCGCUGCCUCGAGGAGGGCGCCGAGGACUUCCUCCUCAAGCCCGUCCGCCCCUCCGACGUCUCCCGCCUCUGCAACCGCAUCCGGUGA